GUAUAAGCAAUCUAUACGGUGAAACUGCGAAUGGCUCAUUAAAUCAGUUAUCGUUUAUUUGAUAGUACCUUACUACUUGGAUAACCGUGGUAAUUCUAGAGCUAAUACAUGCUAAAAACCUCGACUUCGGAAGGGGUGUAUUUAUUAGAUAAAAAACCAAUGCCCUUCGGGGCUCCUUGGUGAUUCAUAAUAACUUAACGAAUCGCAUGGCCUUGUGCCGGCGAUGGUUCAUUCAAAUUUCUGCCCUAUCAACUUUCGAUGGUAGGAUAGUGGCCUACCAUGGUUUCAACGGGUAACGGGGAAUUAGGGUUCUAUUCCGGAGAGGGAGCCUGAGAAACGGCUACCACAUCCAAGGAAGGCAGCAGGCGCGCAAAUUACCCAAUCCCGACACGGGGAGGUAGUGACAAUAAAUACUGAUACAGGGCUCUUUUGGGUCUUGUAAUUGGAAUGAGUACAAUUUAAAUCCCUUAACGAGGAACAAUUGGAGGGCAAGUCUGGUGCCAGCAGCCGCGGUAAUUCCAGCUCCAAUAGCGUAUAUUAAAGUUGUUGCAGUUAAAAAGCUCGUAGUUGAACCUUGGGCCUGGCUGGCCGGUCCGCCUCACCGCGUGCACUGGUCCGGCCGGGCCUUUCCUUCUGGGGAGCCGCAUGCCCUUCACUGGGUGUGUCGGGGAACCAGGACUUUUACUUUGAAAAAAUUAGAGUGUUCAAAGCAGGCCUAUGCUCGAAUACAUUAGCAUGGAAUAAUAGAAUAGGACGUGUGGUUCUAUUUUGUUGGUUUCUAGGACCGCCGUAAUGAUUAAUAGGGAUAGUCGGGGGCAUCAGUAUUCAAUUGUCAGAGGUGAAAUUCUUGGAUUUAUUGAAGACUAACUACUGCGAAAGCAUUUGCCAAGGAUGUUUUCAUUAAUCAGUGAACGAAAGUUAGGGGAUCGAAGACGAUCAGAUACCGUCGUAGUCUUAACCAUAAACUAUGCCGACUAGGGAUCGGGCGAUGU
rnacentral:rRNA from 1 species